GUUUCUGUAUUUUAGGUGCAGUACUAUCCUUAACCUCUAGAGGGCGAUUAACGCUGUGGUAUGUUGAGAGUCAGCGUAUGUUGAAAAUCAGAUGAAGAAGCCUGCUGACUAUGUACGCACGAGGUUAGCGUGUAGCUAACGAUCUAAUUUUCAUUUGUUCUUCGGUUCAAUGUGCAUAUUCUUUUAUAAAGAGUAAUAUUAGUCAUCGAGGUUGUUUAUUUAUCCAGUUGCUGAGGAAAACAACCGGUCAAAGCUUUUGGUUACUGGUUUUUCUUUUACACGAACUCUGAUUGGUUUUUUUGAAUGCUGAUUCAAUUUGAGUGAUCAACCAUUUGAACGGCGAGCCAGACCCUGAUCUGCCACUCAAAGAAUCGUCGUGGUCCAUCACGGAUGCACACAAGAGAGCUAAGCACAUACAUACUACCCGGGUAGCAACACAAAAGGCCUUUACACACCAAUACAUUGAGGCUCUUUACACACAAAUACAUUGAAGCUCUUUACACACACACAUGACCAUUGGAGCUUAACACAUGGACAUUUGAGUUUUUUCAUAUGGACAUUUGAGCACUUCAUAUACUACAAAGGAUCCAGAA